rnacentral:lncRNA from 1 species
CAGGAAUAUAAAAGAAUUCCCCAAAUGACUCUGGCCCUGUUUUGCCUUUGCCCUUUACUUUCUAGGUUUCUUUUGGAUGCCUGGAGAUUUGGAUAAAGGUUCCUGGACCGUGUUGAAUCCAUACCCAGCAUGGAGCCCAGUGUGGGGCUUGAACUACAACCAUGAGAUCAAGACCUGAGCCAACAUCAAGAGUUGGACGCUAAGGGGCACCUGGGUGGUUGAGUGAGUUAAAGCCUCUGCAUGCUCAGGUCAUGAUCCCAGGGUCCUGGGAUGGAGCCCCCCAUAGGGCUCUCUGCUCAGCAGGGAGCUUUCUUCCCUUCCUCUCUCUCUGCCUGCCUC